ACCAAAUCCUAAUCCUAAUCAAAUCCUAAUCAAUUUUUUAAAUUUCAAACAAAUUUUUAACAACCUUACAACAGAUUUUGAAAUUCAAAUACUAAUGUUUGAACUCUUAAUUUCAACUCAAAUUUUACACAUUUUUCACUAAUUAAGUUAAUAAUAAGCAUAAAAAAAUUAAAAAAUAUCAAAAUUACCAAAUAGAUGAUAAUCUCAAAAAUGAGCUUGAAUAUCGACUGACCUCCUUCUCUGAUCUUAAUGCCAAUCUUUCAAAGCCAAUUAUUCCUAAUUGAACUAUUACUUUGCUUUCAAACUUUACAUACUUAUUAGAAAUUAAAUUGACUACUUUUAUCAGAAAAACUUGCUUUAAUGUAACUAGCAAAUUCAUAGAUAU
rnacentral:lncRNA from 1 species